rnacentral:rRNA from 1 species
UACGAAGGGUGCAAGCGUUACUCGGAAUUACUGGGCGUAAAGCGUGCGUAGGCGGUUUGUUAAGUCUGUCGUGAAAGCCCCGGGCUCAACCUGGGAAUGGCGAUGGAAACUGGCGAGCUAGAGUACGGUAGAGGAGAGUGGAAUUCCCGGUGUAGCAGUGAAAUGCGUAGAGAUCGGGAGGAACAUCAGUUGCGAAGGCGGCUCUCUGGACCAGUACUGACGCUGAGGCGCGAAAGCGUGGGGAGCAAACAGG